rnacentral:rRNA from 1 species
AUUGAACGCUGGCGGCAUGCUUUACACAUGCGAGUCGAACGGUAACAGGCCGCAAGGUGCUGACGAGUGGCGAACGGGUGAGUAAUGCAUCGGAACGUGCCCAGUCGUGGGGGAUAACUGCUCGAAAGAGCAGCUAAUACCGCAUACGAUCUAUGGAUGAAAGCGGGGGACCGUAAGGCCUCGCGCGAUUGGAGCGGCCGAUGUCAGAUUAGGUAGUUGGUGGGGUAAAGGCUCACCAAGCCAACGAUCUGUAGCUGGUCUGAGAGGACGACCAGCCACACUGGGACUGAGACACGGCCCAGACUCCUACGGGAGGCAGCAGUGGGGAAUUUUGGACAAUGGGGGCAGCCCUGAUCCAGCAAUGCCGCGUGCAGGAAGAAGGCCUUCGGGUUGUAAACUGCUUUUGUACGGAACGAAACGGUCUGGGUUAAUACCCUGGGCUAAUGACGGUACCGUAAGAAUAAGCACCGGCUAACUACGUGCCAGCAGCCGCAGUAACAC